rnacentral:lncRNA from 1 species
GAGAAGCCUCGGCUCUCCUGAGGACGAGGUCCCCUACUUUGAAGAGCUUGGGCUUGACUUUGGAGUUGUAGUACUGGGCCGUUCUCUGUUGGUAUCUUGCCAUACGGACCCGGGCGACCUCUCGUGUCUCUUCGACGAGGUCCAAAUUGCUCCUGAGCUGGGAGGAAUUGGUGUCGGGGUCAUAAUGCUCCACCCUUGGAGAAG